rnacentral:rRNA from 1 species
GUGUCAGCAGCCGCGGUAAUACGAAGGGUGCAAGCGUUAAUCGGAAUUACUGGGCGUAAAGCGUGCGUAGGUGGUUUGUUAAGUCUGAUGUGAAAGCCCUGGGCUCAACCUGGGAAUGGCAUUGGAUACUGGCUUACUAGAGUGCGGUAGAGGGAUGCGGAAUUUCCGGUGUAGCGGUGAAAUGCGUAGAGAUCGGAAGGAACAUCUGUGGCGAAGGCGGCAUCCUGGACCAGCACUGACACUGAGGCACGAAAGCGUGGGGAGCAAACAGGAUUAGAAACCCUAGUAGUCC